ensembl:snRNA U6 U6 spliceosomal RNA
UUGCUUGCUUCGAUAGCACAUAUACUAAAUUUGGAAUGAUACAGAGAAGAUAGCAUGGCCCCUGUGCAAGGAUGACACGCAAAUUCAUGAAGUGUUCCAUAUUUUU